CAAGACAGAUUAGAAUCCCUUGGAGAGAAGGGAUUUUACCAGGAUACCUGUCGGGAAUGGGUUUCUUUUCGGGACUUUAGCAUGCAUCAAGGUCCUGGCUUGGAUUCUCAGCCCCUUUGGGUGGUGGGGGAUGCAUAUGUUUUUUGGGCUGCUAGGCAUCCUUUAGCUUUGGAUACCUCCAUUUUUCCUGGGGCCCUUCACGUUCGCUGGGUGGGAGUCCAGGGGCUUGAAUGGGCCGGGCUGCGUAAGGUCCUGUCUGACACGGCAGCUCGUUUUGGCAUCCCCCGAGUUUUGGUGAUACAUCUAGGCGGGAAUGAUUUAGGUUUCCUUAAGUCUCUGGGUUUAAUCUUGGCCAUUAAAGAAGACAUACAAUGGCUGGUGGAAUUAUGGAAAGGGAUCAAGAUCAUUUGGUCAGAUAUCACCCCCCCGAAGGUCUUGGUGUAGCCCAGCCAGUGGGCCCAAGCUUGAUGAGGCUCGCAAAAAGGUCCAUACAGCUGCAGGUCGCUUUGUUUUGAGUCAUGGUGGCUUGGUAGUGCGUCAUCACAUGUUGCGCUACAGGUAUGCUCAUCUUUACAGACCAGAUGGCGUUCUUUUGUCUGGUGAGGGUAUUGGCAUUUUUCUGCAGCAAUUGUUUAGGGGGUUAGUGGAGGCUAUAGCUAGUUUAGCACAUUAGAGUUUGAGCUUUGUUCUUAGGUUUCUGCAAUUUGGAGCAUAUACUGGACGAUAUCACCCGCAUGGAGAUCACUGAUACCACCUGCAAGGGGUUCCAAUUUCAUAAGUAUAUGGUACGCAGAGAAUGCACUGAAACUCCAUGUUAGGCUAAUGUUGGUUCAUAGAAUCACAUCAUGGGUCUUCACCUGUUUGCUUGUUCUGUAGUCUGCCACCAGUUUUAGUCUAGCUUCAGUUAUCAUAUUCAGAUUUAACCAAAUUUAGAAAAUGAAUUUAAUAAACAAGUUUUCAUUUGACCAUA